rnacentral:lncRNA from 1 species
AUUGUUGUUAAACUGGAAAACCUAUUGGAAAGCACUGAAAUUUUUUAAAUUUAGCUAAAUAACAUUUCAUUACAGCAUGCACUGAAUUGUACUUUUUUAUAUUUCAGGUUUUUCUUUGAUUUCAUUUUAUAUUCAACAGAUUGCUCUCAAUAUUGGUGGCUUGGUUUCAAGUGCGUGGAAUAGAAGAUUGCUAUACCUGUAGAUUUACAGCAAAAAAAUGGAUGAUGGGUUCUUCAGAUAUAACAUCCAAUUGUCUCUCCAGGGAGGAACAGAGAAUAGAAGAAUACUUCUGUAUUUUGACAUUAACACCCCACCUCAUCAGGUCUGCUGUGAGAAUCAGAUGAAAGUGUUGUGUUCUUGGAAAGACUCUACUGGAUUUUUUUUCCCAGAGAAAUUAAUCUAUUAAAUUCUGACAAUCUCUGACUGCUUGAUACCUAUAAUUGGAAUACCUAAGAUAAAUAAGGUGCCAGGACUGGGAUAUUACAGCAAAUAGAGAAAACCUGAGACUCUUUGUGCCUCUAUAUUCAUUUAUUUGAGACAUCUAUUAAAAAUACACUUUUCCAGGCAGAUACUAGGGAAUGUCCCACAAUAUUCUGGGACCAUUUCCUUUAUCGACCAAUUAGGCAAAGGUUUUUUAUUGAAAAUUGGCUUCUAGAUUCCCACUUUCUCUGAUACCAGGCCUACAAAAAUCAUGUCCCUACCAACAGAUGUUACCUGUUGCCCAAAUUUCCUUCUAAAAACAAUUGCUUUCUCAUUCACUGUUGAAAUGUCACACUUAACUUGAAAGUAAAGAUUAUGAUUGUGUUUGUUUUCCAUAGCUGCUGGGUAAUGAACCACUGACCACCACUUUUUAUUACAGAAAAUAUGCCUCACUUUGAGAUACUGGUUUUAUUUUAUAAUUUUUGGAAAAUGAAAAAUGUAUAAUUCACUUUUGAGGUCUAUUACUGAAAAAAUUUUUGCCAGGUAAUUAAUGGUGAAUGCCCUUGUGGUACAAAAAGUUGUUUUGAUGACUUACUAUCUCUUUACAAAGUAUUCUGUUGUUUCCUUUGCCAAAUACUCUAUCAUUUGAGAUACUGUAGUCUACAAAUUCCUUUAAUGAGCCAGACUCAAAAUGUGAAUCAAGUAUGCCAAAAGUGAACCCACGAGGACGCUACUCACUGUCGCCCCCCCUCCCUCUGGUGGAAGUCAGGAUAGACGGCUUGCUGUAAGUGAUACGUAUUUCUCUAACUUGACAGGAAAUCAUACAGAGAAGUUGUAAUAUUUUCUCUCCUUAUUCUGAUGGAUCAGUUUGCUCCAUCUUCUACCACUAUGCUCAUCACUGCCUCCCUGCCAUCAGACUCCCUCGUCCCAGGUGACAGCAGCUCAUUUGGGAGAGCACCAUUUAAAUAAUGCAUGCUGAUUGCAGAAAAACUUAACACAGAUAUGUGUUAAGGGAGAAAUUAAACAUAACCCAUAAUCCACCACCUCAAAAUAAACAUAAUUAACAUAGCUGAAAAUUUUUGUGC